GGGGACCACGACUGAUGCCGUUGGCAGGCAGCCCAGCACCCCUCGAUUUCGUCUGCUAACGUCUACCCUCCUUGUUAAACGUCAAUGUGGAAAGAAGUGCGAAGCAAGUCACCUCCUUUCCUUCCUUGCUCAUGUCACAUGUACAGAUGUGAGGGAGCCGCCCGAGGAUCAAAACCCCCGGCAGAGUGGGGGUUUCCAUAGGCGAUGGACCCCGUAAUCUGCCCAUUCCUUGCAAAGAGCAGACGGAUUUCCCCGUAUCAAGCACUGGGCAUUUCUGAACCCCGGGUACUUCUGAGCUGAGCAGUCUUUGUUGGGAGAGGGCUGAUGAUGUUCCGUGUUGGUGACUUUUCAGAUAUCUAAUUGUGUCAGUCGCUUGGGCUGCCAUCACAAAAACACCACAGGCUGGAAACAACAGAAAUUGGUUUCUCAUACUUCUGAAGGCUGGAAGUUCAAGAUCAAGUUGUCCUGGUUAAGCUUCUCCCCAAACCUCCUCGUUUUGGUCUCUGGUAUUCACCUAUGACUCAGCCUAGACAAGGAACUGGACGGGUGGGAACGCGCCCGCCGGUGGUGGUCUCAGCCAGGGGAACCCGGAAGGAGCCUGUUUUACUGCCGGGCACACUUUCGUUCCUAUUACGUGUGUGCAGAGCCCCAGGGGCAGCCACCCGACAACCACGUUUCUGGAGCCUGGGUCCA